ACCGAGUUGAAGUGCCUGCGUGGUGUCCACACAGAUUGUCUGAUGAUAAGAAAGAGUCAAAAGCGUCUUGCGAAGCUGACAAGUGAUGUCCCCUUCGUCUAGAGGCCCAGGACACCGCCCUUUCACGGCGGUAACAGGGGUUCGAAUCCCCUAGGGACGCCAAUAUGACUGACAGUGGGUGAAAGGCACGGUCAACGCUAACCUAAAACUGAUUAGUGAUAGUCAGGUUUAUGUUAUCUGCUCUUUAACAAUCCGGAACAAGCUGAAAAUUUGAAACGACGGCAUAUGAGUGUGAAUUCGUAUGUUGUUCGGUCUCUCAAAAUACUUGCAUCCCGAGACACUUUCGGGUUGUGA
rnacentral:misc_RNA from 1 species